AACUGAUGUUCUACAAAACAACAAGCUUUUAAACACUAUACGGUUGAAAAUUGAGUUCAGGGGUUCUGGGCUGCAGUGGACUAUGUCGAUUGGGUGUCCGCACUAAGUUCGGUAUCGAUAUGGUGCUCCUGGGGGAGCUCGGGACCACCAGGUCGUCUAAGGAGGGGUGAACCGGCCCAGGUCGGAGACGGAGCAGGUCAAAGCCCCCGUGUCGAUCAGUAGUGGGGUCGCGCCUGUGAGUAGACACUGCAGUGCAGCCUGAGUGAUAAAGC
rnacentral:sRNA from 1 species